rnacentral:rRNA from 1 species
UAAAGAUUCAUCGCUGAUAGAUAGGCAUGCGUUCCAUUAGGCAGUUGGCGGGGUAACGGCCCACCAAACCGACGAUGGAUAGGGGUUCUGAGAGGAAGGUCCCCCACAUUGGUACUGAGACACGGACCAAACUCCUACGGGAGGCAGCAGUGAGGAAUAUUGGUCAAUGGGCGCGAGCCUGAACCAGCCAAGUCGCGUGAGGGAUGAAGGUUCUAUGGAUCGUAAACCUCUUUUAUAAGGGAAUAAAGUGUGGGACGUGUCCUAUUUUGUAUGUACCUUAUGAAUAAGGAUCGGCUAACUCCGUGCCAGCAGCCGCGGUAAUACGGAGGAUCCGAGCGUUAUCCGGAUUUAUUGGGUUUAAAGGGUGCGUAGGCGGCCUUUUAAGUCAGCGGUGAAAGUCUGUGGCUCAACCAUAGAAUUGCCGUUGAAACUGGGGGGCUUGAGUAUGUUUGAGGCAGGCGGAAUGCGUGGUGUAGCGGUGAAAUGCUUAGAUAUCACGCAGAACCCCGAUUGCGAAGGCAGCCUGCCAAGCCAUGACUGACGCUGAUGCACGAAAGCGUGGGGAUCAAACAGGAUUAGAUACCCUGGUAGUCCACGCA